rnacentral:lncRNA from 1 species
UCCGACCCCUCCCCCGCACCGACGUGAUUCGGAUCGCGCGGUGCUGGCGCCGCCUUCAUGCGCCCUGCCUGGCCCCCACCUGGUCCUCUUUCCUUUUCAGGUGGAGGAGAUGCCGCUGUCCCGUCGGUCUGGGGACAGCCCAGCUCCCCGGAUCCCGGGCUGGAGAGACGCGUCGCGGCCCCGGGGCCUGGUGGCACGAGCAGGAAGGAGGACCCGGCGGCGGGCUCUGCCUGGGCUUGCCUGGGCUUGUUCCGAGCCGGGCUGCUUCUCGGUGACCACGCAGAUCGGGGGCAUUUGGAGAUUUUGCGGGAGUCCUGCAGCCAAGCUCCGGGGCAGGAGAGGCCUGGAAGCCUGCACUACCUGCUCGCCCCGUCCCAGCAUGCACCCAGGUAAACGCUUGUGUUUCUCAGUCCGUGCGAAAGUUUGCAAAGAAGGAGGCGGGAACUAGACCAACAACUUUAAUAAUCAUAGUCAUAAUAAUGAAAACCCUGUUCAAUUGUGUAGCCUCCGUAAGGGGAAGAAUUUCCAAGAAGCAACAAAAUGUUCUUUGAUUUCAUAAUCUCUGGGGAGAAAGGAUUCCUUUUUUGGGGUUUUGCUCGGCUAGUUCUUUCUUCCCUCCUCUAUCUCCAGCGUGGGGCGAGGAAGGCCGACUGGUUCAUGGGUGGCAAAUGGGGACCCUGGCUCUCUUGCGCUGCUGGCCACGGUGAUAUUGCAGCAAAUGCUCAACCUCCCCAGUUCCUCUCCUCACCUUGAAAGUGGAGGCAUUGAUACUAGCCACCCAUGGUUGCAAAAAACUCGCA